AUGGCCGUCGUCAGUUCGUACUGUGAAGCAUCCUGUUAAGUCAGGCAACGAGCGAGACCCACGCCAACAGUUGCCAGCUCGUCCUCCGGGAUGGUGGGGACACUGUUGGGACCGCCUCUGCUAAAGAGGAGGAAGGAAUGGGCAACGGUAGGUCAGCAUGCCCCGAAUUAUCUGGGCUACACGCGGGCUACAAUGGGUGGGACAAUGGGUAUCGACACCGAAAGGUGAAGGCAAUCUCCUAAACCCAUCCGUAGUUCGGAUUGUGGGCUGCAACUCGCCCACAUGAAGCUGGAAUCUGUAGUAAUCGUGUCUCAAAAUGGCACGGUGAAUAUGUCCCUGCUCCUU
rnacentral:rRNA from 1 species